NNNNNNCUGAAUCAAGGCUAGCAGUUUUCUAAAGCUGUUGGUUUCAAGCAGGACCUUACAGUGGUAUCUUUCUGUGGUCUCUUGGCCACUUCAGAACUUUAGAAAUGUAAGAAUUAAUUCAUUAGAAAGAAACAGCA
ensembl:snoRNA